rnacentral:rRNA from 1 species
AUGGAUUACAACCCGAAGCUUUUGUGUUGGAAUGUGCGUGGGUUAAACAACCCGGCUAAAAGGAAGGAGGUGAGGGAAUUCAUAGGCUCAACUAAGGUGAACAUGGUGUAUUUGCAAAAAAUAAAGCUGGAUGUAAUUGACCAAUUCCUAGUAAUGCAAUGUCUUGGGCCAUCAUUGGAUGGCUUCACUUAAUUGUUGGCAACGAGACACAAGGGGGGGGUCCUUUUGGCUUGGGAUUCAACUAAAGUUGAGGUGGACAAUAUCAUUCUCGAUACUCACAGUAUCACCGAGAAAGUGCACAUAAAGGAUGGGAUUUCCUGGUGGAUCAUGGUGGUGUACGGGCCUCAAGGUGAUGAGGCAAAGAUUGCGUUCCUCGAAGAGCUAAGGGCAAGGCGCAUGGUCUGCCUGGGCCAAUGGAUGCUUCUCGGACAUUUGAACAUGAUCUUAAGAGCUUCCGAAAAGAGCAACAAUAACCUGAAAAGGAACAUGAUAAUAAAGUUCCGGAGCUUUGUGGAUGAACAUGAGUUAAAGGAUCUCUAUAUGCAUGGGAGGCGAUUCACAUGGUUAAAUGAGCGGGAUGCAUCACGUGCUAGUCUCUGUUGA